UACGAAGGGGGCUAGCGUUGCUCGGAAUUACUGGGCGUAAAGCGUGCGUAGGUGGUUUGUUAAGUCUGCUGUGAAAGCCCCGGGCUCAACCUGGGAAUGGCAGUGGAUACUGGCAAGCUAGAGUGCGGUAGAGGGUAGUGGAAUUCCCGGUGUAGCGGUGAAAUGCGUAGAGAUCGGGAGGAACACCAGUGGCGAAGGCGGCUACCUGGACCAGCACUGACACUCAGGCACGAAAGCGUGGGGAGCAAACAGGG
rnacentral:rRNA from 1 species